rnacentral:rRNA from 1 species
GAUGAACGCUAGCGACAGGCUUAACACAUGCAAGUCGAGGGGCAGCGAGGGAGUGCUUGCACUUCUGUCGGCGACCGGCGCACGGGUGAGUAACACGUAUGCAACCUGCCCUUGUCAGGGGGAUAAGCGAGGGAAACCUCGUCUAAUACCGCAUAUAUGAUUUAGAGGCAUCUUUUAAUCAGGAAAGAAUUAUCGGACAAGGAUGGGCAUGCGGGACAUUAGGUAGUUGGGGGUGUAACGGCUCACCAUGGCUACGAUACAUAGGGGGACUGAGAGGUUAACCCCCCACACUGGUACUGAGACACGGACCAGACUCCUACGGGAGGCAGCAGUGAGGAAUAUUGGUCAAUGGACGCAAGUCUGAACCAGCCAUGCCGCGUGCAGGAUGACGGCUCUAUGAGUUGUAAACUGCUUUUGUACAAGGGUAAACCCUGGGACGUGUCCCAGGCUGAAAGUACUGUACGAAUAAGGAUCGGCUAACUCCGUGCCAG